AGAUGAACGCUGGCGGCAGGCCUAACACAUGCAAGUCGAGCGGAUGAAGGGAGCUUGCUCCUGGAUUCAGCGGCGGACGGGUGAGUAAUGCCUAGGAAUCUGCCUGGUAGUGGGGGAUAACGUCCGGAAACGGGCGCUAAUACCGCAUACGUCCUGAGGGAGAAAGUGGGGGAUCUUCGGACCUCACGCUAUCAGAUGAGCCUAGGUCGGAUUAGCUAGUUGGUGGGGUAAAGGCCUACCAAGGCGACGAUCCGUAACUGGUCUGAGAGGAUGAUCAGUCACACUGGAACUGAGACACGGUCCAGACUCCUACGGGAGGCAGCAGUGGGGAAUAUUGGACAAUGGGCGAAAGCCUGAUCCAGCCAUGCCGCGUGUGUGAAGAAGGUCUUCGGAUUGUAAAGCACUUUAAGUUGGGAGGAAGGGCAGUAAGUUAAUACCUUGCUGUUUGAC
rnacentral:rRNA from 1 species